AGAUGCCAGGAUUGAGAAUAAAUACAAUUGAUCUCCAUAUACAUAUCAAAGUCUCCCGACUCUCCUCUCUCUGCUUGAUUCCCCAGUAAAAAGCGAUGGCAGACGCUCUCGCUGCUCUGAGGUCUUUAAUGUCUUCUCACUCUCCUCCUCUCCAUGCUUUGCUCGUUCCUUCCGAAGAUUAUCAUCAGAGCGAAUAUGUAUCUGCACGGGACAAGAGGCGCGAUUUUGUCUCUGGAUUCACCGGAAGUGCUGGACUAGCGCUCAUAACAAUGAACGAAGCACUUCUGUGGACGGAUGGACGCUACUUCUUGCAGGCAGCUCAGCAGCUUAGUGAGCAGUGGAAGCUCAUGCGUAUGGGAGAAGACCCUGCAGUUGCUAUUUGGAUGGCAGAUAAUAUACCAAAGGAUGCAGCUAUUGGUGUUGAUCCAUGGUGUAUAUCAGUAGAUACUGCACAGAAGUGGGAGCGUGCUUUUGCUAAGAAACAACAGAAGUUGGUUCAAACAACUAAAAACUUGGUAGACGAAGUUUGGAAAAAUCAGCCACCUGCCGAAACAAAUCCUGUGAUCGUGCAUCCAUUAGAAUUUGCUGGUCGCACUGUUGCAGAUAAGUUGAAAAAAUUGAGAGAAAAGCUUGCAAAGGAAAAAUCUCGUGCUAUGAUAAUAACGGCACUUGAUGAAGUUGCCUGGUUGUAUAAUGUCCGCGGCACAGAUGUAUCAUAUAGCCCGGUUGUUCAUGCAUUUGCUAUUGUGACAUUAGACUCGGCCUUCUUCUAUGUGGAUAAAAGAAAGCUGUCAUCUGAGGCAAACUCUUACAUGAAGGAAAAUGGAAUUUUAGUACGGGAUUAUGGUGAAGUUAGCUCAGAUGCAGUCUUGCUUGCGUCUGAUCAACUCACUGCUUCCUCAUCUGACAAAACUCCAACCGGAUUUUCAAGGAACACAGAGAGUAAUGAUCGCAAGGCUACAGGAAAUGGUGCCAUUCCAGCUGCAGAGUUUGUGAAUGACCUCAUUUGGGUUGACCCUUGUGCAUGCUGCUUUGCUUUGUACUCAAAACUGAAUGCUGAUAAAGUCCUCCUAAAGCAGUCACCUUUGGCCCUUGAGAAAGCCCUAAAGAAUCCUGUUGAGAUGGAAGGAUUGAAGAAGGCCCACAUUCGGGAUGGGGCAGCUGUCGUGCAGUAUCUCGCCUGGCUGGAUAAGCAGAUGCAGGAAAUUUAUGGGGCGUCCGGUUACUUUGCAGAGGCUGAGAGUUUGAGCAAGAACAAAUUAAAGGAUACCACAAGACUUACAGAAGUUUCUGCAAGCGAUAAGCUAGAGGAGUUCCGGGCAUCUAAAGAGAAUUUUAGAGGGCUGAGUUUUCCAACUAUUUCAUCUGUUGGUUCAAAUGCAGCCAUUAUUCAUUAUUCACCCGAGGCAGAAACAUGUGCUGAACUUGAUCCAGAUAAAAUUUACCUAUGUGAUUCAGGAGCACAGUAUCUGGAUGGAACAACUGAUAUUACACGGACUGUUCAUUUUGGAAAACCUACUCCACAUGAGAAAGCAUGUUAUACUGCGGUUCUCAAAGGACAUAUUUCAUUGGGUGAUGCACGGUUUCCCAAUGGAACAAAUGGGUAUGCUCUUGACAUUCUUGCUCGAACUCCUUUAUGGAAGUAUGGGCUCGACUAUAGGCAUGGUACUGGUCAUGGUAUUGGGUCUUACUUAAAUGUCCAUGAAGGACCUCAUCAAAUUAGUUUCAGACCAUCAGCUCAAAAUGUGCCACUGCAAGUUUCAAUGACUGUCACAGAUGAACCUGGUUAUUACGAGGAUGGAAAAUUUGGUAUUAGAUUGGAGAAUGUGCUUAUUGUCAAGGAGGGCAAUACUAAGUUCAACUUUGGCGACAAGGGUUACUUGACAUUUGAGCAUAUAACUUGGGCACCAUAUCAGAAAAAAUUGAUUGAUGUGAGCCUUCUGGCGCCCGAAGAAAUCCAAUGGUUGAAUGACUACCACUCUAAAUGCUCGGAUAUCCUUGCUCCUUACUUGAAUCAAUCUGAAGCGGAAUGGCUGAAGAAGGCUACUGAACCCGUUCCAGCGUGAGGCGUUCCUCUCUCUCGAGGUUUAGUAUGCAGUGUUCUAUCUGUUCCAUGUAUAAUGCUCUUAACUCAAUAAGGUUUAUUAAUUUCAGCCCACAGCACUCAUGCAUCAGAAGUCUACACGCUUAUUAAACGUCUUUAUUACUGCAUAAAAAAAGAAAAUAGUCCAACUAAAUGGGUAAAGGUAGUAAACAGAAAAAGAAAAAAGACAAAGGUUAGCUAGUUCGGCCUCCUGAUAAAGAAUCCUUUGAGCUUCAAUGAUUUCCUUAGCUGUCGAAAGAUGAAGCCAAGCUCAAGUAGCAUGAUUCAGAACUUAUAUUCAGUAGGUUAGGUAAAUUACUCCUAAAUUGUAAGUUAUAGGUUUAUUUUAAUGUGACUCUAUUCGUCGUUUCUGGAUUGUCGCUAACUGUUUACUGUUAUGUCCUCAUCUUUUUAGUCACGUGAAAAAGAGCCAAUUAUUGUCA